GGGGUAGACCGGAAUUGACAGCUUGUGCAGAUUGCGUGUAAGCAUGUCGGGUGAUGAACGUACCACCUGUUAAAAAUCCGUUCGAACAAUAACUGGCGAAUAUAACUACGCCAUGGCUGCUUAAUCUAGGUAUUAAGCACUAGCCAUAGUCUCGUGCAGGUUUCGUAAAUCUGCCUGCACAUCAGAGGCUUCGAUCCGAUUUACUAGCUUGUGUAAAGGUGUGGUGCACAGGCGAAACUAAAGCACCUAAGGAGUGCGCAUAAGUUUGGUUUAUACUUGCAAGCUCCCGACAAUCCGAAUAAACCUAAGCAUGUAGAAGGCACGACGGUUUCCUUGUCUGGACCAGGGUUCGAAUCCCUGCUACUCCACAA
rnacentral:tmRNA from 1 species